GAUGAACGCUAGCUACAGGCUUAACACAUGCAAGUCGAGGGGCAGCGGGAUUGAAGCUUGCUUCAAUUGCCGGCGACCGGCGCACGGGUGAGUAACGCGUAUCCAACCUUCCGUACACUCAGGGAUAGCCUUUCGAAAGAAAGAUUAAUACCUGAUGGUAUGAUGAGAUUGCAUGAUAUCAUCAUUAAAGAUUUAUCGGUGUACGAUGGGGAUGCGUUCCAUUAGGUAGUAGGCGGGGUAACGGCCCACCUAGCCAACGAUGGAUAGGGGUUCUGAGAGGAAGGUCCCCCACAUUGGAACUGAGACACGGUCCAAACUCCUACGGGAGGCAGCAGUGAGGAAUAUUGAUCAAUGGACGAGAGUCUGAACCAGCCAAGUAGCGUGAAGGAUGAAGGUCCUACGGAUUGUAAACUUCUUUUAUAAGGGAAUAAACCCUCCCACGUGUGGGAGCUUGUAUGUACCUUAUGAAUAAGCAUCGGCUAACUCCGUG
rnacentral:rRNA from 1 species